GGCGAGCGCUCCAGGCCUCCUCCCGACCCUGCGCCGUGCCCAGCCCCUCUGCCCUCCUGUUACCCCGGGACCUCGGGCCGCCAGCCCCUUCCACGUGCAGGCUCCUGCUGCUCUCGCGGGGGCUUUUCGUGUGUCCCCCGAGAUGUCGAGGAAGCCAGGUGAGUUCCUCGCGACAGGCGGUGCCCUUUGCAGGAGGGGACAGGUAGCUGAGGCGUGGACAGAGUGACAGGCCAGGCUCAGGGGACACAGGUGAGACCCCCUCACUGGGCUGCCAGUUCCCGGGCUUGGGGCAUCCCAGUACGUCAGCGUCUGCGGCCUUACCUCCUGACACCUAAGGCCAGAGACAGAGCAGGCCCGCGCCCUGGGAGGUCCUGAUGUCCAGCCUGAAGAUUGAGGACAAAGCCACCACCUUUCACAAAAUGAGGCCAGACCACCUGCCUCCCUCCAGUCCCUGCGGCCUGGAGACGGAGUCAACAUUCUUAUCUGUGUUGGAUCUGAAUGUUCCUCCUUGCAAAGGAAACAAGGAGUGGACGUUCAGGCUGAUGGCCAGCUUCAAAGAUCGGGGCCUUUGAUUCCCAUCACUGGGAAGAAAGCCCUUCAGACAAGCCCCCCCAGGCUGCAGGUGCAUGGGGACCUUGAAGAACCCGUCCCCAUGGUCCCACGUCCAUGUGUCUCGAGACCUGUCGCAUCCUCGCUGAAACUCAAGAAUGUGAAACAGAGUCCAGCUCUCCCACGGGUGGCUGUGAUCCUUCUUCCUGGGGAGUCCUGCUGUCCCUGACUAGGGGCACCUGCCCACCUGUCAGCUGCUCCUCCCUCGGCUGGUCCUCCUGGGCUCUGAUGGCCCCAACAUUUCUAGCUCUUCUCACCCAUAGUGCCCCAAGCUUCAUGCAGCUGCGGCAGCAGCAUGAACAGACUGAGAUAGCGGCUUACAUGUAACCGGAAGCUGCAGAAAAACAUCUUCAGACAGCUGAGACGGCUCCCAGGACUCGUGCCUGGCACAGACACCAUCUGCCUGGCAGGGCAAAGAAAGGCGUCUGUGAGUGUGGGAGGAUUCCGAGUCUAACACCCUGAGCCCAGCCAGGAAGGGGCCAGGAAGGCCUCCUCGUGAACAACGAAUGAAACAGAUCCCAGAUCUCAGACAGGGCGGGGAAGGGGAGGGGUACCAUGUCAAGCAGCACUCUGUGUAAGUCGGCACCUGCGCACACUUGCAUGCAGACGUGUGUAUUGUGAGUGUAUGGACAUGUUAGAAAUGGAUGUGUGCAUGUGUCUGCAUGUGUUUGUGCAUUUAUGCACAGACACUACACGGGCAUGCACAUCAUGUACGUAUAUGUUUGCAUAUGUGCACGUGUGUGUACGUGCAUGUGUUCGUGUGUGCAUGCACACAGCAUGCGUGUGUGUGUAUACUUGCAUGCAUGCUAACAUAUGGUGGAGAAUAAAUAAUGAUCACCUCUCUGGAACUGGGGAAAGUAAGUGUUAAACAGAUUUUCGACAGGAAAUGCUGCUGCAAGGAAUUCGUCCGUAGGCUAGCACUACAACCUGGAGGCAGGGAGCAGUGAGGAGUGGAAGUCUUCCCAUCAGAAGUGAGGAAGGCUGGAUACGGUGGCUCACACCAGUAAUCCCAGCACUUUGGGAGGCAAAGGCAGGAGGAUCACUUGAGCCCAGGAGUUUGAGACCAGCCUAGGCAACUUAGCA
ensembl:lncRNA novel transcript